rnacentral:rRNA from 1 species
UGGGGAAUAUUGCACAAUGGGCGCAAGCCUGAUGCAGCCAUGCCGCGUGUAUGAAGAAGGCCUUCGGGUUGUAAAGUACUUUCAGCGGGGAGGAAGGUGUUGUGGUUAAUAACCGCAGCAAUUGACGUUACCCGCAGAAGAAGCACCGGCUAACUCCGUGCCAGCAGCCGCGGUAAUACGGAGGGUGCAAGCGUUAAUCGGAAUUACUGGGCGUAAAGCGCACGCAGGCGGUCUGUCAAGUCGGAUGUGAAAUCCCCGGGCUCAACCUGGGAACUGCAUUCGAAACUGGCAGGCUAGAAUCUUGUAGAGGGGGGUAGAAUUCCAGGUGUAGCGGUGAAAUGCGUAGAGAUCUGGAGGAAUACCGGUGGCGAAGGCGGCCCCCUGGACAAAGACUGACGCUCAGGUGCGAAAGCGUGGGGAGCAAACAGGGUUAGAUACCCUGGUAGUCCACGCCGUAAACGAUGUCGACUUGGAGGUUGUGCCCUUGAGGCGUGGCUUCCGGAGCUAACGCGUUAAGUCGACCGCCUGGGGAGUACGGCCGCAAGGUUA